UCUGACCGGCAGACACACAAGGGAGAACCAGUCCCACCCCAUCCCAUCCAGACACACAAGGGAGAACCAGUCCCACCCCAUCCCAUCCAGACACACAAGGGAGAAGCAGUCCCACCCCAUCCAGACACACAAGGGAGAACCAGUCCCACCCCAUCCAGACACACAAGGGAGAACCAGUCCCAACCCCAUCCAGACACACAAGGGAGAACCAGUCCCACCCCAUCCAGACACACAAGGGAGAACCAGUCCCACCCCAUCCAGACACACAAGGGAGAAGCAGUCCCACCCCAUCCAGACACACAAGGGAGAACCAGUCCCACCCCAUCCAGACACACAAGGGAGAACCAGUCCAACCCCAUCCAGGACCCAUCACCGCUCCCCUUCUCUCCAGGCCUGCUUGAGCUCCACUCCUCCCUGGGGACUCUGAGACUGGGUGUUCUAUGCUGGCAGUCUCUCGACCAGAUGUACAUUUGUUUUGUUAGUGGGUUGUUGUUUGUUUUUAAGCCGUCCUUUUAAUACUGAGCGAGAUCCAGUCACCCAACGGUUUACACAUAGACACACACACAGAGAAAAUGACAUUCUAAGGAUUAUUGUAGACCGGUGAAAUUACCGGAGCCUCAAUGUGGUGGUGGGAUGCCUGAUCAAACUGGGGUUUGCGUUAGAAUGGACCAUUGAAACCAUGCUAUCAUUAAUGUUUUUCUUUUUCACUGCUGAGUUUCAUGAUUAACCCAUGAACUGCUGGAUGAGAACACAUUUGAAUCAGAGCUUUGUUGAGGGAGGUGAUUGGCAUGUCGAUUGGUGAUGUUGAAGCAACUUCCUUUUUUAUAUAAAAAUGCUGGCCAAGGGAAAAUUGGACUGUUUUAAUUAACCGUUUGUGUGUGAGUGCGUGUGUGUGAGAAUUCUCAGUUAAAGCACUUUGUUUUACUAUGAUGAAAAUACUGUAAAGCAGAAGCAAUUCUUUGUCCAGGAAAAUAAAAUAAAAUAAACAUUUUUGUGCUUUUAUGAG
rnacentral:lncRNA from 1 species